rnacentral:rRNA from 1 species
UUGGACUAUAAGUCCACUAAAGAGCCGUUCGAGACUAGGACGUUGAUAGGUCAGGUGUGUAAGCGUUGUGAGGCGUUGAGCUAACUGAUACUAAUGACUCGAGAGGCUUAACCAUACAACCCAGAUGGGUUUUG